CCAGCUUCCUCUGCGCUCCGGAAAGCUGCGGCCCAGCGCGGACUAGUGAGGACCUCCACAGCUCCUGACAUUGCCAGGAGUCCUGUCGGCGUUUUCUCCCAGCCUCCGCCAUGCCGGCGGUGCUGGGUUUUGAAGGCAGCGCCAAUAAGAUUGGCGUGGGCGUGGUGCGGGAUGGCAAGGUGCUGGCGAACCCGCGGCGGACUUACGUCACGCCUCCUGGCACAGGAUUCCUUCCAGGUGAUACAGCCAGGCAUCACCGAGCUGUUAUCCUAGACCUGCUGCAGGAGGCACUAACAGAGUCUGGAUUAACCUCCCAGGAUAUCGACUGCAUUGCAUACACCAAGGGCCCUGGCAUGGGUGCCCCACUGGUUUCUGUGGCUGUUGUGGCCCGUACUGUGGCCCAACUGUGGAAUAAGCCAUUGGUGGGUGUGAACCACUGUAUAGGCCACAUUGAGAUGGGCCGCCUCAUCACUGGAGCCACCAGCCCAACCGUGUUGUAUGUGAGUGGAGGAAAUACGCAGGUGCCUGUAAUCCUAGCAACUCCGGAGGCUGGGCAGGAGAAUCACUUGAACCCAGGAGGCGGAAGUUGCGGUGAACCGAGAUCGCACCAUUGCAUUCCAGCCUGGGCAACAAGAGCAAAACUCCGUCUCAAACAAACAAACAAACAAAAAACAAAAAAAAACAACUAAAGGACACUACCUGAUUUAUUAUUUUGGGGUGAUUGCAUACUCGGAACAUCGUUACCGUAUCUUUGGGGAAACC
rnacentral:misc_RNA from 1 species